rnacentral:rRNA from 1 species
GGUUAAGCGACUAAGCGUACACGGUGGAUGCCCUGGCAGUCAGAGGCGAUGAAGGACGUGCUAAUCUGCGAUAAGCGUCGGUAAGGUGAUAUGAACCGUUAUAACCGGCGAUUUCCGAAUGGGGAAACCCAGUGUGAUCCGUCACACUAUCAUUACGUGAAUACAUAGCGUAAUGAAGCGAACCGGGGGAACUGAAACAUCUAAGUACCCCGAGGAAAAGAAAUCAACCGAGA